rnacentral:tRNA from 1 species
AAAUAAGAAGCAAUAUUUGCAUUCAGUUUCGACCUGACGGUUGAUGAUAAUCUCAUCCUUAUUUA